rnacentral:sRNA from 1 species
AACCCUCAUAACGCUUGCCCGUCCAUAU